rnacentral:rRNA from 1 species
GAUGAACGCUGGCGGCGUGCCUAAUACAUGCCAGUCGAGCGAACGGACGAGAAGCUUGCUUUUCUGAUGUUAGCGGCGGACGGGUGAGUAACACGUGGAUAACCUACCUAUAAGACUGGGAUAACUUCGGGAAACCGGAGCUAAUACCGGAUAAUAUUUUGAACCGCAUGGUUCAAAAGUGAAAGACGGUCUUGCUGUCACUUAUAGAUGGAUCCGCGCUGCAUUAGCUAGUUGGUAGGGUAACGGCUUACCAAGGCAACGAUGCAUAGCCGACCUGAGAGGGUGAUCGGCCACACUGGAACUGAGACACGGUCCAGACUCCUACGGGAGGCAGCAGUAGGGAAUCUUCCGCAAUGGGCGAAAGCCUGACGGAGCAACGCCGCGUGAGUGAUGAAGGUCUUCGGAUCGUAAAACACUGUUAUUAGGGAAGAACAUAUGUGUAAGUAACUGUGCACAUCUUGACGGUACCUAAUCAGAAAGCCACGGCUAACUACGUG